GAAAAUUCAACAGGCCUGGACAAACCGUAUUUUCCAGCUGCAUUACUGUACAGGUCCUUGUUGGCAUCUUGCUGAUCCACAGAUAUUGACAAAGAAUUCCACUUCUGACGCCUCUUGUGAUGCCAAAAUUAUCAUUGGCCUAGAAUUUCUCUUCUCUGAGAUAGAAACGGAUUUGAUGACGAUGACAAACAUGCACAGCUCACGGCACAGUGUCGACUUUAGGUCACAAGUAGAAGAGUGGAUGCACUUGCUCCAAGAGCUUGAGAAGCUGUUGCAUUUGUUUGAGAUCUAUCAGCAAAAAUGGAUCUUCCUGACUAAGAUAUUUCAAGAAAGAACCUUGGGUGUUCAAAGAUGGGAUUUGCUGGCACAAUUCCGAUCAGUUGAUGAGCGUUUCAAGGCCAUGAUGUGUCACAACGCGGCUCACCCCGAUGUGCUGAAUCUUGUCCGUCCCAAAACGGGGAUAGAAACCCACCACGGCGGCAGCCUUUGCGAAAUUCUCCUAAAUGAGAUAUCAACAUUGAAUGCUCUUGCUUGCCAGAUGGCAAAUCGUCUCCAUUCUCGCUGCAAAUUGUUUCCGAGACUCUACUUCUUGAGUGACCGGGAAGAAGUGGAACUACUAUCUUUACAACCAACACCCACCUCUCUGUUACCCUUUGUACGGAAAUUUUUUAAAGGGGUACAGUCGAUGGAUGUGGAGGAAAUAUCUGGAACUGUGGAUGGACAGGAUACACGCGACACACAGACGAGGGUACUUGGGGUCUUCGGCAACUUCCAGGAGCACAUUAUCUUCCUUUCUCCAUUGGAACCGAAUCACAAUCUUUUGAUUUGGCUGAGUACGUUUCAGGAUCAGCUCAAGUUAACCAUGGAACAUCUCCUGAUGCAAUGCGCUGAUGAACGAAAACAAGUCG